rnacentral:rRNA from 1 species
CCCUUAGAUGUUCUGGGCCGCACACGCGCUACACUGAAGGAGGCAGCGUGUACUCCUGGAUCGAAAGAUUUGGGUAACCCGCGAAUCUCCUUCGUGCUAGGGAUUGAGGUUUGCAAUUAUCCUUCAUGAACGAGGAAUUCCCAGUAAGUGCAAGUCAUAAGCUUGCGCUGACUACGUCCCUGCCCUUUGUACACACCGCCCGUCGCUACUACCGAUUGAAUGAUUUAGUGAGGACUUCGGACUGGGACCGAUGCGGCUUUCGGGCUGCGUCGGUAUUCUGGAAAGAUGUCCAGACUGUNUNAUUUAUNGGAAGUAAAANUCGUANCA